CUACGGGAUGCACCAGUGAGGAAUAUUGCACAAUGGGGGGAACCCUGAUGCAGCAACGCCGCGUGGAGGAUGACGCAUUUCGGUGUGUAAACUCCUUUUAUAUGUCAAGAAAAUGACGGUAGCAUAUGAAUAAGCACCGGCUAACUCCGUGCCAGCAGCCGCGGUAAUACGGAGGGUGCAAGCGUGUACUCGGAACCACUGGGCGUAAAGGACGCGUAGGCGGGUUGGAAAGUCAGGUGUGAAAUCCUACAGCUUAACUGUAGAACUGCACUUGAAACUUCUAAUCUAGAGUAUGGGAGGGGGAGAUGGAAUUAGUGGUGUAGGGGUAAAAUCCGUAGAUAUCACUAGGAAUACCUAAAGCGAAGGCGAUCUCCUGGAACAUUACUGACGCUAAGGCGUGAAAGCGUGGGGAGCAAACAGGAUUAGAUACCCUCGUAGUC
rnacentral:rRNA from 1 species